rnacentral:rRNA from 1 species
UGAGCAAUCUGCCCUUCACAUCGGAAUAACCAUUGGAAACGAUGGCUAAUACCGAAUAUGACUUCGGAUCGCAUGAUCUGAAGUGGAAAGCUCCGGCGGUGAAGGAUGGGCUCGCGGCCUAUCAGCUUGUUGGUGAGGUAAUAGCUCACCAAGGCGAUGACGGGUAGCCGGCCUGAGAGGGUGACCGGCCACACGUGGGACUGAGACACGGCCCAGACUCCG